ensembl:lncRNA
AGGAAGUUUGUGCUAGAUUGAGGGACAUAUCCUUCAUCUGUCAUGGUUUGGAAUUAGUUGUCUUCUUUGAUAGUCCCAUCCAAGGUCUUCAGUUGCAACCAUGAUAUUAUGAUGUUCAUAGGAGAAUGUGCAUGGAGAUGAUGCCAUUCCCCUUGUUCUUGGAUGAGAGCAUUACAGACAGGGAAAGUAACCCUUCUUCACAUCUCAGGCUUGAUUGUACCUCUCUCUUGUCAGGACAGCAAUGCAUGUAACCAGAGACAAUGUUUGGGGACCGGGGAGAGAGAAGUGUUGCAGUCUCUGGAUUCAAGUUUUCUCACCUUUCCCAAAAUAGAACUCCUCAGCUUUCUGGGUCCUGAGAUAAUCUCCCAUGUGUCACUUGAGCCUACACAAGGCUUUGGGAAGUAAAACGGCUAUAUAAAUACCUGAUGAAGGAAGAGUUCCACGUGCUUGGAAAAUCAUCCCUGAACUCUGUGGAGAAAUAUGCCUGCAGCCAUAUUUCUUAAAUGUAUAAGAUUCCCCAUCUCCAGAUUUCUGUCCAGCCUAUGCAUGGAAUCACAAAUGACCUGUCUCCAAAUCAGCCAGAUCUUGGGAAGAAUUUGUUUCAAAAUUGAUCUAAAAUUAAAACAGCAUAGAACCAGAGAACAUCCUGAGUUGGAAGGGACCUGGAAGGGUC